rnacentral:tRNA from 1 species
GCCCGGGUGGUGGAAUGGCAUACACGAGGGACUUAAAAUCCCUUGGGAGCAAUCCCGUGUGAGUUCGAAUCUCACCCCGGGCA